rnacentral:sRNA from 1 species
UUGGCCACUGGUACAUAUCGCCUUAUCCACCGCCUAUCAGCUCUUCACGCAAAUUGUGAUAUCUCAUUGGAAAACUUACCAGGUUUGUCAACCUAUAUAAUUAAAUUCGUCAGAAAAUUUUUCAGAUCCCAAUCCUCUACUCAUCCUGUGCAACUACCGUCUCUGUUGGCAUUCAUUUAGUUCUGCACUCCAUGUCGGUUUUUUGGAAAGUAUAAUUUUUUAUAAAAUUUAUUCAAAUGUUAUGUUGUUAUGACAUUGGCAAUAUUUGAUUUCAAUACUAAAAAAUCUUUGAACAUUAUUAUUUUUCUCAUCAAUUGAAAUUAUUUUAUUAAUGGUGACUUCCAAAAAAGUGCAAAAGUAUGAAGAAUCAUAUGAGUUGCAACUGAUAUAGAGGCCGCAAUUGAGGACGCCAGAUUUGGUACCUGAAACGUAGAAUUGAAAUUGGGAAUUGAGUAUUGAAUCUCAAAUUGGCGCAUCUGGGACAGUUGGGACAAAACUUUUGGUCAGAAAACUCAAAUUAUCGAGAGCAUUAGCUAGGUUAACAAAAACUGAUCGAAAUUUUGAAAAAAAUCCUCUGACCAAUCAGCGACAUUGGCCAUGUCCAUUACUCGUCGGUUAUUGGUCACCUCGCCAGAAUUGGUUUGUUUUAAUUUUGGUAAUUUUCGACUUAUUUCCAUAAUUUUUGGUAACUUUUUUUGCAAUUCUACAAAUUAGAAUUCUGGAAAAAAUACCAACAACGUGGCUGGCACAAACCCGUUUUAAAAAUUUAAAAAAUUUUUGAAAUUAUAGCUCAUAAAAUUUCAAUUUCAAAAACACACAAUUUUCCUUAUCAGUCGGUAAUCAGCUGGUGAACACCUCCUGGAACGGGUGUUAUUUAUUUAUUUACUCUUCCUUUGAUAAAAUGUCUGAUAGUUGAACUCAUUGUUUUCCCAAAAAAUUCGAAAUUUGAGAAAAAAUGCUUGAAAAUCCAGAUUCUGUGGAAAAAUUUCCAGUAUUGGAUCCUCUGUAAGUGAUUUUGUAAUUUCAGAAAAAAAAAUUUAAUAAACAUUUUUUGAGAAAACGUUUUUCAGAAUUUUUUUCAGAAAAAAGAAUGUACUCCUGUCCCUGCACUCUCUUUCAUCUUUAAUCCACGUGGCAAUGUUCUAUUUCCUAUUGGUCCAAUGGAGUAAAGUCGAUAUUCCAGUUAUCACGCAUUUUCAGAGUAGGAAUCCAAAAAUUGAAGUUGUUAAGGUUUUUGAAACUUAAUUUUCAGUUUUCUGUCUGGUGAUUAUUGGAAUCGGAUUAUUGAUUAUCUUGAUCUUAUUUUUCAUUAUUUUUAACAACGAAAUGAAAAGUGACUCACAUGCAAGACGAUUCUUUCAUAUGUAAGUUUAUGUCUUAAAAAUUGAGAUUUUAAAUUUAAUGCUGCUCAAACCAGCUCAAAUUCUAAUUUUUCCAAAACAUUCUUGCGGGGGUACAAAAUUUUAAUAUCAAUUUUGAUAUUUUCGGUACAAACUUUUUAAAAUUAAGACAAUUGUUUUGGCUGAAUUUUUGGUUUUUAAAUUUUAAAAGUGGAGUAACGCCGGUGGGGACAGUGUUAAAACUACUUCAAUGGUGCCAAAAUGACCGAAUUUCAAAAAAAAAACCUUUCCAAAAAAACGUUUUGAAAAUUUUAGAAGUGUUUUAUUAUGAUAUUCGGUUAUUUUGGCUCAUCAUAAGUGCAUUUAGACAAAAUCCUCACUGGUGCUACCCCAAAUAAAACUUUUCACCAUUUUCCAGUUGGCCACUGGUACAUAUCGCCUUAUCCACCGCCUAUCAGCUCUUCACGCAAAUUGUGAUAUCUCAUUGGAAAACUUACCAGGUUUGUCAACCUAUAUAAUUAAAUUCGUCAGAAAAUUUUUCAGAUCCCAAUCCUCUACUCAUCCUGUGCAACUACCGUCUCUGUUGGCAUUCAUUUAGUUCUGCACUCCAUGUCGGUUUUUUGGAAAGUAUAAUUUUUUAUAAAAUUUAUUCAAAUGUUAUGUUGUUAUGACAUUGGCAAUAUUUGAUUUCAAUACUAAAAAAUCUUUGAACAUUAUUAUUUUUCUCAUCAAUUGAAAUUAUUUUAUUAAUGGUGACUUCCAAAAAAGUGCAAAAGUAUGAAGAAUCAUAUGAGUUGCAACUGAUAUAGAGGCCGCAAUUGAGGACGCCAGAUUUGGUACCUGAAACGUAGAAUUGAAAUUGGGAAUUGAGUAUUGAAUCUGCUAAAUUCUGAGAAAGAACUUUCAUACUUUUAUUGACAAUUGAGAUGCCAAAAGUUGAACAACAAACUGAUAGAUUGUUGCACACGCGAUGUUGAACAGGGGGAGUCUGAAAAUACCUUUAAAACUUGAUUGAGAUUGAUUUUAGCCGAAAGCUUUUUCUCUGGUUUAGGUUCAGGCCUAGGCUUACGCUUUGGCUUAGGCUUAGGCUUAUCCCUAGGGGUACAUUCUAGCUUGGCCUUUUUCCACUUACAAAAUGAAAAACUCCGUCUCUGCCUUUUCGUUUUUAUAUUUUCCGUGCAACAUCCAGACGAAGCCGCCGAACGCGAGAAGUAAUAAACACAAGACGAAAACCAUCAGAAUAAUAGCUGAAAUUAGGUUUGAUUUUCUAAAUUUUGAGUCAAAAUAUUCUGAAACUCACCUCCAACUACAGUAAUUUUUGGAUCGAUUGCAUUGUACCAUUCAAGAAACAAGGUAUAGGUCAUAAUGACAUGAAUUAAAAACGAGAUACCGUGUCCAAUGAGGAGUUUCUUUUUUUGCUGCAAUAUUUUUCAAAAUCCAAUAAAAAUUAUAACUUUGACCCACUCUUUCACAUCGGGAGGAAGGUUAUACUGCAUUUUUGCGUGCUCUUUUUCCCCGUUCGAGGCCUGAACUGUCUCUGAGGCACAAUGGCCGUUCAACGUAUGACGUCCGAGUGAGAAACUUUGCAAGGCUGCGCCAAAGUCCUUGAUUAAUUUUGGGUCCCGAAUGUAUUGCAAAACAGAGGCAAUGUUCUGCGGGAUAUGUUCACUGAAAAUAACUUUUUUUAAAAAUCAUCUUAAACGCCUUUUUGUGUUUUUUUUUCAAACACGUAUGGAUUUCUUUGACUUUUUUGGUAUGAAAAUUGUUGUUUUGGGGACAGAGCGUCGGCGUGAGUCUCGCACUUAAAAUCUUUUUUUUAAUUGACUCACUCUUUGUGAUCUGUUGGUGUCUGUUUUGGGUCGGUUGCACUGAAAAUAGUUACAUUAAUUAUUCGAUUUGUUCAACUUUUCGAAUUUUCGAAUAAACCGUCAAAUAUGAUUUUUAAAAAAGAACUCACUAUCAGCAUUAUUUUGUACUUCAUGAGUAGUAUGUAUUUGUCCGCUCCGGUGCAGCUUUCAACCCACUUUUUGGGUCUCAUGUGUCGGAGUACAGCUGAUUCCUUCACAUUAUCUUCACAUUUUUCUGACAUGGACAAUAUUUUCAUCCAGUUAGAUAACAUUUUCCAGGCAAGAACAUUUCCAUAUUUCUUGAAAAUAAUCAGUAUUGUUCCAAUUCGACUCCGAAAAUGAUUCAGAAUUUCAUCGUUGGAACAUAUUUGGUGACUUUUGUUUAGAAUGUUCUCAAUAUUCUUGAUUGUUUUCGAGAUUAUUUGAUAAUCCGGAAAACUCGUUUGAUCGGUUCGAAUGUCCAAGUCGAAGACUUCGAACUCGUAUUUUUCAAUUUUUUCAGUGCAAUUCUGACUUCUUUGUGCAAGUUGAUCUACUAUCGUGUUUUCCAUCUUGACUUUUGAAAAAAAAAAUUAAAUUGACAAGCUGCAGACUUUUCAAUUAAUGACAGAAGAUGUGUUUUGCAAAGGUGUUUGAAGAAAUUUGCUGAAUUGUCCGAUUUGAUGCUGAUGAGAAUCAGACUUUUUGACGUAGCUCUCUCUUUUCUGAUGGUUUGAAAAAAAAACUAACGAAACAAAGAUUCCAAUUGGUUGUUGGUGUUGUAGCGGUAGAUGUAGUGGAAUGAUGAUAAAAUUAGCUCUUUGAUUCAGUACUUGUUGAGGUUAGAAUAGGGUGAGUUCCCAUGUCCCUUUCUUUUUCCCUCGGUUAGUUGUCUUCGUUGUCUCUUUUUCCGUCUUGUCCUCGGGGUCAUUAUUCAUUUUGCCAAUGGAGGUAUCUCUUUUUUUCGUGCACUCUCUCAUUGAGAGUAGUACUCCACAAUAAACAAUCGGAGCGAAAGUGUAGAUAACAGCAACGUCUCGGACCAAUUGUGUAAACCAGAUUGGUUUUUGCAAUUUUGCAACUCGAUUGUAUAAACGUGACGGAACAACUUUUCUUUCAUCGAUGAGUUUAAUCAUCUUUACACUGAUGAAGACCUUGCGAGAUAAGAAUAAAUUUUUGUGGAGUAUCAACUCUCGUUUUUUCCUUAUCUCAUUUCUUCGGGAAUUCCAGAAACAAAUCAUUUUGUUGUUCCUUUUCGCUGUCUCUGCUAUUAAGAAACUGACUAUGUCUCAAAUAGGGGAAACUUCGAAGCAGCUUUUCCAUUUGGCGUUUCAAAAAAAAUUUGUGGAAUCUUUUCUGAAUGGGAAAACACGGAAAUAAUUCAAUGCGCGGCUUACAUACUUGACGACUUAAAAAAAAACCUGGAGACAAAUGUGUUGUGUCAAGUCUUGCCAUUCGUCGGACUAAGAUGCAGUGAAUCUUUUGAGUCUACGACGGGAAUUUUACUGAUCAAACUGGAAUCAAUGAAGAUGAAUUGUGGAGGUAGAAGAGUGAAUUGUAUUCCCACUGUUAAUUAGAGCAUUUUUUCCAAUUACUCCCUAUAUUAAUUAACGGGUAAACAAGGAACGAAUGUGAUGCAUAUUAUCACGUCUGACAAUAAGCAUGCUAUUUGAGAUUCACUGGACUAGAAACUCAAAAGUUGUUGUGAGGUUUGAAUCAACAAUUCUCAAAAAGAGUCUACUCUGACUAGCUCUUUUCUUGAAAUGGACCAAAUUCAAACUCUCGUUCCAUAGUUUUGAAAACAAUACACAACUGAAUCAGCUUUUGUUUUUUUCUGGAGAGCGUAGAUUUUUCAUGGGCUUUUGAAAAAAAAAAUUAUUUUAUCGUCCUUUGGAUGAGUUUCUUUGAAGAGAGAGAGUGUGUGUGUUUUUUUUGUAUUUUUUCUUGGGUUUUUAGAGAUUAAAGGAAAUAGAGAGAAAUUAAUUUUACUUGAUUUUUAGAAAAAUUUAGUGAAAUUGAAAAGAAAAAAAUGGUAAGACUCAAAAGACUAGAACAUCGAACCAAACUCUGUCUGCCUUGAUGGAAUAGAGCACAGACACCACUAAACUAGUUUAGAAUGGAAGGAUCUCACCGAAAACUUUUCAGAUGAAAUAAAAGUUUUUAGGUGGAAUUUUUUUCUUUUGACUUUGAAGAGAGAAAAUCAUAUGAAGAUGAAAUCUCAGUCAAAAGCUCGGUGGUACCUACAUGUUACCGUACGCGAUCGUGCCAGAUCUCGUAGAUAAAAUAAUAGAAAACAUAUGAAUAUAUCGAUAUGUUUAUUGAGAUGAGGGGGAGAAGGACGGGUGUCCGUCUCCCAGCCUCCCGAUAGAAUGAUGUUAAUUCUCAUGGAAUAGAAUGUCUCUAUUCUCUCGUGCUCUCUCACCCCACCAACUGUCGUUGACAGAUGGCAAUGAUCAAGGGCACUCGAUAAAUAGAAACCGAGAAGCAGUAUAGAACUGACCUCUCACACUACUAUGCGGCUGCCCCGCUCCCGACCUUUAUGAUAACCCCACUUCCUAUAUUAUUCUUUUUAUGUAUUGCAUAUAUUCUAUUAUAUAUAUAUAAACAUCCUAUAACCCCAAGGAAUUCCAGGUCGGUAUAUUUAACCUCAACGAGGUACUUUAGGCUAGGAAUAAGAACCACUCUCAACCCUAGCGAGAGUUAGAUAAAGGUUGAUUAUAAUAUUAGGUGCCGAGAGCACGCCUAUAACAUGAAGGUACCACCGAGCCAGGAAAUAAUUUUUUGGGGUGCCCCUGUAUGUAAGAUCGCAGGUUCCAAAAUUGUUUCUGCGAACUCAGAGGAGUCAGGAGUUCACCUAACUAUUCCCUAGUAAGUGUGCCAUAACCGCUACACCAAGGCCACACCAAUAUCUAUUUGGAUUCCCCCAUUCCUAUCACCAUCAAACCCCUUCCCAUCUAUUAUUCUAUUCUCGUCUGGUUGGAAGAGCAUGGAGACAGUUUCCAGUACACAUCACGCCUCUGCAAAACGGACAAAGCAGAUUCUCUUCAAACGGUCAAGGAAUUCCCGACGUUGGACCAACUCCCCCUGAUGCGGCUUGAGUUUUUUUUCUUUUGAUUAUUAGUUGUUCUUUAUUGAUUCAAUCUCUAUUCUAGCCUGAGGGCAUCAUGAGCCAAGUUUGAGCCAUUUUAUUGUGUUGAGUAAGCAAAGUUCCCCGCACAUUUUUUUUUGAGUAUUGAGAAUACACUAGUUUGAAGAGUUCCCCAUUUUCUUUGUAUUGUAUGUAGAUAAGUUACUGUUGAGUAAAAUGACCUCUAAUUAUAUUGUUAAGUCCGUUUUCUUAGAAUUUCACAUUUUGAAAUAAGUAUUUGUGUCUGCCUGAGGCAAUAGAAAUUAAAGAGACUCUGUUGUAUUGCAUUUUAAUGAGAUGAGAGUAGGAUUUUAUUUGGUAUAGUUUUUUCAUAUGUUGUUUAUCCUUCUUGAAAGGGCUUUAAACUCUUGCACUAAAACACUAGCGCUUUGAGGACAAAGCACUUUUGAGAGGGUAGGAUGGCGUGCCGUUACCGUCAUCUGUUAUUUUUCUUUUUGGGAAUCUGAGUUCUGUAAGCCUAACAUCAAAAGCUUCGGGACGAAGCUGCUCAAAAAGGGCGGCAUGUGAGAGGUCAGUUCUAUACUGCUUCUCGGUUUCUAUUUAUCGAGUGCCCUUGAUCAUUGCCAUCUGUCAACGACAGUUGGUGGGGUGAGAGAGCACGAGAGAAUAGAGACAUUCUAUUCCAUGAGAAUUAACAUCAUUCUAUCGGGAGGCUGGGAGACGGACACCCGUCCUUCUCCCCCUCAUCUCAAUAAACAUAUCGAUAUAUUCAUAUGUUUUCUAUUAUUUUAUCUACGAGAUCUGGCACGAUCGCGUACGGUAACAGUAGGGCGACUCCCACCAGACUAACUUGUGUGCGCCUGCACUUAGGGGCGGGCCGCCAUGGAAGUAAAUGAAGAAGGAAGAUAGGCAUGCCUGAUAGGAGGCUUGCCAUCGUAUCCUUCCACAGUUUAUUUAUUUACUCUUCCUUUGAUAAAAUGUCUGAAACGUAAGUUGAACUCAUUGUUUUCCCAAAAAAUUCGAAAUUUGAGAAAAAAAUGCUUGAAAAUCCAGAUUCUGUGGAAAAAUUUCCAGUAUUGGAUCCUCUGUAAGUGAUUUUGUAAUUUCAGAAAAAAAAAUUUAUUAAACAUUUUUUGAGAAAACGUUUUUCAGAAGUUUUUUUCAGAAAAAAGAAUGUACUCCUGUCCCUGCACUCUCUUUCAUCUUUAAUCCACGUGGCAAUGUUCUAUUUCCUAUUGGUCCAAUGGAGUAAAGCCGAUAAUCCAGUUCUCACACAUUUUCAGAGUAGGAAUCCAAAAAUUGAAGUUGUUAAGGUUUUUGAAAAUUAAUUUUCAGUUUUCUGCCUGGUGAUUAUUGGAAUCGGAUUUUUGAUUAUCUUGAUCUUAAUAUUCAGUAUUUUUAAAUCCGAAAUGAAAAGUGACUCACAUGCAAGACGAUUCUUUCAUAUG